GACGAACUUGUGUCCUGCGUCAACAGUGUGUGGAACGUUGGCGACCUCGGCGCUCGAGCUGCACUCCGCUGGGCUCUUGGCAGCACCCUGUGCUCUGAGGGUGUCUUGCCCGCCGGGCGCCGUGGCUCACGCCUGUAAUCCCAACACUUUGGGAGGCUGAGGCGGGCGGAUCACUUGAGGUCAAGAGUUCAAGACCAGCCUGGCCAACAUGAUUCUACUCUAAAAGUCACCAGGAAAAAUUCAGCUCCACUGGUCCUGGCUCUAAGUCUACUAGCAAAAUCUUCCAGAGAAGUGGAAAAGCCAUCAGCCAAUGUGUUAGACUAUCAUUUCCAUGACCUUACACCUAUCAAAAAGGCACUAUUACCAGGCUUAUAGAAUUCUAAAAAAGUUGGAAACCAUUUUCCAUUAUAAAAGAAAUUCUUCCAAAUCACACAAAACACUCUGACACUUCUCCAAUUCCCCCUAUCAUGGGGCUGGCAGCAGCCGCUUUGCGUCCUGAAUGUCAUGACAGUGAUGAUAACAGUAAUGAUGAUAACAGCAAUGAUGAAGUCUCACAUUUAAAAUUUUCAAGUCACUCAUCACAUCCCAAGUCACUCCCUUCAUUACCUUUUAUUUAUACUGGAGUCAUCCUGUGUGCCUCAGUCAGACCAUUUUGUAUGUACAAUGACCGACAAUGAGAUUUAACAUGCAGUUUGCAGAUCCUCCCUUCUCUGGGUCACCUGAAAAUAAGCCACAAACAAAGGAAUGAAAUUGUUGAUGAAAAGGGAAGAGGCAAGACUCCAUAUGAAGAAUACAACUGACUCACCUGUCUGUACAUGCCUCUGUGUGUGUGUUUUAUAUUGGUGCUGGUGAAGAUAGUUCUUUAUGCUGAUGCUUAAUAAGGUGAAAUGUGUCUAUUUUCUUCCAUUGGCCCAGGCACAGAUGCGAUUAUAAUUGCUAAGAUUAUUUGCAUAUUGGCUUUUAAUGAUGCAUUUAAAAAUAUUCAUCCCAUUUACUGACUUAUGCAGGCAAUGUACUUUUGUAAAUGUGGGCCAGCAUCAUGCUUAAAUUCCCAAACCACUAUUUAUUUAAAACUCAUCACUUCAGUUUUUAUACCCUUUCUCCCCCAUAAGGGAAAAAAUAUGAUUCUGACUGUAUAAGCACCAACUAAACAGAACACAAAACAUGGCAGACGAUAAAAACAUAUUUUCACAAAUGAGACAUGUCAUUUUACCAUCGAGGAGAGAAACAAAAUAAGCUGGUUUUCAAGUUCCAUAUCUUGUGUGCUCCUUUCAGCUAAAUGCCCUUACAUCUGUAAGCCCUUGGGACAGGUUAAGGCUUUUAUUAUUAUUUUAAAGUCUUCAUAACUACAACCUAGCAUCCAAAGUGAAACAGAUGCUAUUGGAUAUGAGUAGCAUAUGCAAUGGAAAUAUUGACAUUGCCUUCCCGACAGUCAUGAGGGAUAGACCAUAGGCUUUUUGGUAACCUAUAUUUUCUAGGCCCAAAGCAGGGAAUGAGAUGGCAGGGAAAUUCAGGGUAAACUCCAAAUUUACAUAAAGUUAUAGAAGAAUAUAGAUCAUGAGUAGUGGCUAGCACCUUCCUGACUUCCAGAAAAUGGUGGUGCCGAUAUUGAACAACAGUUUGGAGAAAAUGUAAAAUGUUUACAUUUACAUUUACAGUUUAGUCUUUGAACAACAGUUUGGAGAAAAUGUAAAAUGAAAAUUUGUUAACGAACUUGUUUUUAAAAAGCACCUAGACUCCAUAUAAGAGUACUUGUCCUAUGUUAUUUUCAUAAACUACAUUUGUGAUUGUU
ensembl:lncRNA RGPD4-AS1 RGPD4 antisense RNA 1 (head to head)